UACGUAGGUGGCUAGCGUUGUCCGGAUUUACUGGGCGUAAAGAGCGCGCAGGCGGUCGUUCAAGUCGAGUGUGAAAGCCCCCGGCUCAACUGGGGAGGGUCACUCGAUACUGAUCGACUUGAAGGCGGGAGAGGGAAGCGGAAUUCCCGGUGUAGAGGUGAAAUUCGUAGAGAUCGGGAGGAACACCAGUGGCGAAGGCGACUAUCUGGCUGACAACUGACGCUGAGACUCGAAAGCAUGGGGAGCAAACAGG
rnacentral:rRNA from 1 species